rnacentral:rRNA from 1 species
GAUGAACGCUGGCGGCGUGCCUAACACAUGUAAGUCGAACGGUGAACCUUGCUUUAUAGCGAGGGGAUCAGUGGCGAACGGGUGAGUAACACGUUGGUGACCUGCCCUGAAGAGGAGAACAACCAUGCGAAAGCGUGGCUAAUACUCCAUGUGGUCGGCCAUUCAUUUGGUCGAUUAAAGCUUCGGCGCUUCGGGAGGGGCUUGCGGCCCAUCAGCUAGUUGGUAGGGUAAUGGCCUACCAAGGCGGCGACGGGUAGGGGGCCUGAGAGGGUGGCCCCCCACAUUGGCACUGACACACGGGCCAAACACCUACGGGUGGCUG